rnacentral:lncRNA from 1 species
AUUCACACGGGUAAAAGGUUCACAUUCACUUCACUAUUAUCAAUUAAAACUUAUUAAAAAAUAUAUUCGGCUCGAAACAAGGCCGUCAAAAUUUACAAAAAUAUUUUGUUAAAUCAGUGAGAUAAAAUAAAAUAGACUAACAUUAUGCAAUUAAUAUAAAACUUAUGCCCCAUUGUCACAUCCUAUCAGAGCAUUGUGUCCCG